UUCGUCAGUGGUCCAUAUGAAGGUAAUUUGAAGUACACUCUAUAUGGUGUGUUAGUUCAUUAUGGUGGAAGUAUUGAUUCUGGUCACUACUACGGCUUUGUUCGCACUUCAAGUGGUAUAUGGUAUUCCCUUGAUGAUAACAAGGUUAUCCAAGUUAGUGAGAAGACUGUGUUCAACCAGAAAGCGUAUAAGUUGAUUCGAGUGUAA